rnacentral:misc_RNA from 1 species
UUGUACACACCGCCCGUCUGAAAUCGUAACACCGAAGCCAGUGGCCUACCCUUGGGAGGGAGCUGUCGAAGGUGGGAUCGGCGAUUGGGACGAAUUGUAACAAGGUAGCCGUACCGGAAGGUGCGGCUGGAUCACCUCCUUUCUAAGGAGCACCACGAAAAGCACUCCAAUUGGUGGGGUGCGAGCCGUGAGGGGUUCCCGUCUGUAGUGGACGGGGGCCGGGUGCACAACAGCAAAUGAUUGCCAGACACACUAUUGGGCCCUGAGACAACACUCGGUCGAUCCGUGUGGAGUCCCUCCAUCUUGGUGGUGGGGUGUGGUGUUUGAGUAUUGGAUAGUGGUUGCGAGCAUCUAGAUGAGCGCGUAGUCCUUGUGGCUGAUGCGUUCGUCGAAAUGUGUAAUUUCUUCUUUGGUUUUUGUGUGUAAGUAAGUGGUUAAAAGGCGCAUGGGUGGAUGCCUUGGCAUCGAGA